rnacentral:rRNA from 1 species
UGGGGAAUUUUGGACAAUGGGCGAAAGCCUGAUCCAGCAAUGCCGCGUGUGUGAAGAAGGCCUUCGGGUUGUAAAGCACUUUUGUCCGGAAAGAAAUCCUUGGCUCUAAUACAGUCGGGGGAUGACGGUACCGGAAGAAUAAGCACCGGCUAACUACGUGCCAGCAGCCGCGGUAAUACGUAGGGUGCAAGCGUUAAUCGGAAUUACUGGGCGUAAAGCGUGCGCAGGCGGUUUGCUAAGACCGAUGUGAAAUCCCCGGGCUCAACCUGGGAACUGCAUUGGUGACUGGCAGGCUAGAGUGUGGCAGAGGGGGGUAGAAUUCCACGUGUAGCAGUGAAAUGCGUAGAGAUGUGGAGGAAUACCGAUGGCGAAGGCAGCCCCCUGGGCCAAUACUGACGCUCAUGCACGAAAGCGUGGGGAGCAAACAGGAUUAGAUACCCUGGUAGUCCACGCCCUAAACGAUGUCAACUAGUUGUUGGGAUUCAUUCUUAGUAACGUAGCUAACGCGUGAAGUUGACCGCCUGGGGAGUACGGUCGCAAGAUUAAAACUCAAAUGAAUUGACGGGGUCAUAGCUGUUUCCU